UUAAGCGUACAUACCACGUUGAAUACACCGGUUCUCGUCCGAUGACCGAAGUUAAGCAACAUCGGGCGCGGUCAGUACUUGGAUUGGUGACCUGAGCCUGGGAACACUGCGUGUUUUAAU
rnacentral:rRNA from 1 species